rnacentral:rRNA from 1 species
AAUCAACGCUGGCGGCGUGCCUCAGACAUGCAAGUCGAACGAUUAAAGCUCUCUUCGGAGAGUGCAUAGAGUGGCGCACGGGUGAGUAACACGUAAGUAAUCUACCCUCGAGUGGGGAAUAACGUCCGGAAACGGACGCUAAUACCGCAUAAUGCAGCGGCACCGCAAGGUGACAGUUGUUAAAGAUUUAUCGCUUGAGGAGGAGCUUGCGGCAGAUUAGCUAGUUGGUAAGGUAAUGGCUUACCAAGGCUACGUUCUGUAACCGGUCUUAGAGGACGGUCGGUCACACUGACACUGAAUAACGGGUCAGACUCCUACGGGAGGCAGCAGUCGGGAAUUUUGGGCAAUGGGCGAAAGCCUGACCCAGCAACGCCGCGUGAAGGAUGAAGUAUUUCGGUAUGUAAACUUCGAAAGAAUAGGAAGAAUAAAUGACGGUACUAUUUAUAAGGUCCGGCUAACUACGUG